AAAAGGAAGUUUAUAGUUUAACUUUGAAACAAAGAUAACAUCCCUUUCCCAAAACAAAACCCCUUCUUGCCUGGGGACUAGACUGCCUUUGUAAAACUAACAAAUUGGCCACAAGAUUGGAAAUUAUGAUUUAAGAGGUGUGAACUCAGAGGCUACAAGAUUCCUAACCUCCCCAAUUGCUCCUAUGCAUAACAUCACUAUUGUAAAAGUGUUUGAGAUAUUUGGCAUUCAAGAUAUUUUUCAGACCCUGCAUUCUGAUGGGCCGGCUGGUGCCACCCAGACUGGUAAUCUGGAUCAAUUAGUUCUGCAAUGGCACUCAGGAACAGAAGAAAGCAAGAAAAACCUGCUUCAACUCCUCCCCACUAUGAUUUCAUCUCCAGCUGAACCAAUCAGCAUUCCCCACUCUCUAGCACCCUACUGGCCAAAUUAGCCUUUAAAAAUCCCAGUCUCCAAAUUUCAGGGAGACUGAUUUGAGUAAUAAAACUUCAGUUUCGAGUGCUCGUCGGGAAGGCGGCGGGCUAUCCGGGCCUCGGCUGCGGCUGGCACCAUGGUCGGUGGCGAGGCGGCCGCUGCAGUGGAGGAGCUGGUCUCGGGGGUGCGGCAGGCAGCCGACUUCGCGGAGCAGUUCCGCUCCUACUUAGAGAGCGAGAAGCAAUGAAAGGCCCGCAUGGAAUUCAUCCUGCGCCACCUGCCCGACUACCGCGACCCGCCUGAUGGCGGUGGCCGCCUGGACCAGCUGCUGUCUCUCUCCAUGGUUUGGGCCAACCACCUCUUCCUGGGCUGCAGUUACAAUAAAGACCUUUUAGACAAGGUGAUGGAAAUGGCUGAUGGGAUUGAAGUGGAAGACCUUCCACAAUUUACUACCAGAAGUGAAUUAAUGAAAAAGCAUCAAAGCUAAGCCAGAAGAUUUAUCACAUUUCCAUCAUCAGCUACAGGAUUAGAAAGGAGGCUGGGAUGAACGUGACAUAGACCACAGCAGCUCUCUAAAGACUCCUGGUAUUACCAACAUAAAGAGGGAGGUGGAAUGAGAAGGACUCUGUCUAGAUUGGCUUUUUUAACAUUCUCAUUCUUCCAGUAGUUAUCACUGUAAAAGUAUGCAUGACUAUUUAUGUAUUUAUAAAUCAUGCACUCUAAGAUGAGUUCAUCAACAUUGUAAAAGCCCUCUUUUCUAAAAAAAAAAAAAAAAAAAAACUUAAGUUUCCCAUUCAGCCAGUUCUGUAUACGUUAAACUCUCCUUUAUUGCAAUUCCCCUGUUUUGAUAAUUGGCUCUUUCUGGGCAGUGGGCAAGGAGAACACGUUGGGCAGUGCUGCUGAACCAAUGGGUCAAUGAGGAUAUUAGAAAAAUAAAAAUUUCCUGAGACAAAUAAAAAUGAAAACUCAACAUAGCAAAACCUACGGGGUAUGGCAAAAACGGUCCUCAGAGGGAAGUUGAUAGCAAUAAAAUGCCUACAUAAAAAAAUAGAUCUCAAAAAAUUUAAUAUUUCACCUCAAGGAACUAAAAAAAAAAACUAGAAUGUGCCCCAAAUUAGUAGAAACGAAGAAAUAAUAAAAGCCAGACUAGAAAUAAAUGAAGUAGAGUCAAAAAAACAAAACAAAAACAAAACAAAAAACAAACAAAACCACAAAAGAUCAACAAAACAGUUGGUUUUUGAAAAGAUAAAAUUGACAAGGCUUUGGCUUGUAGUUUUCUUUUUUUAAUUCUGUCUUCGUUUGAUUUUGGUAACAGAGUAUACUGGGCUUAUGGAGUGAGUUCGAAAGGAUUCCUUCCUUCUACAAGUUUUUAGAAUAGUUUAAAGAAGAACUAAUACCAAUUCUUCUCAAAUGUUUGGUAGACUUCAUCUGUGAAACUCUCAGGUUUUUCUUUGAUUGAACAUUUCUAUUGCUGAUCCAGUCUUGUUACUGGUUGUUGGUCUGAGAUUGUGAUAUCAUCUUUAGGAUACAGGUUCUUCUUUUGAGUUUCCUCAGUACUCCUUGGUGAAGAUCAGUGGUCGGAUGGGCAGCAUUGUCAGUGCUUUGUGUUCCUAAUUUGGUCUUAGUAUCAAAAAGACCCAUCAGUUCCCAGUGAGUGCUCAACAUUGGUCUUUUGGUCCUCUUCAUUUCCCACUCCUUGUUAGUUAAAUUCAGGGCUCAAUGGGUAGGUGCUCCCAGUACUUGUGGCCGCUUAUGCAACACAGAUUGAUUUAUUCUUGACAACUUAGUUUGCUUUCUCUAUUUUGGUCAAUGAUGUGGUUAGUCAUCCUGGCAGAUAUUCUGUCCUAUUUACCAGUUGCGAGUUUCUCUCUUCCUGAUUGGUUUUCCUACCUUCAUUCUUGCCACCCUUUAAUCCAGUUGUACAUUAUGGGAAGAAGUAGCUCUAAAAUAAAUAAGACCCUGUAACUGCUGCUUAACAGCCUUCAUAACAGCUUUUUGUCUCAAGUCCGAACACAAGGUCUUUCAUCAUUCAGAUUUGAAGAGCCAUCACUUUCUUUGCCAUAGUGAGAGUUAAUAUUACUAUACUACAUUCAUUCCUGUUGAAUGAGAUACAGCUUUAGAUUUUUCCAUUGUACAGUAUUCCAAGUUAGAGAUGGUUUGAAAGAUGAAACAUAUCAUGGUUUGGGUUUACCAAGAGGUAGACUGAGAUAAGAAUGUGAGUAUGCAUUGUUUAUUUUAGAGGUGAUCUUAAGAAAUCUCCCAGUUACCACUGUGGACACUUGCAUCUCAAUCCCACUG